AAUUUGCUUACCCAGUGUAUGCCUUUCUUGCAUUCUUGCGUUAUAAUGUAACCAAAAAAACAAGGCAUGUCUUACAGAAGCCGGACGUCGCCCUGCAAUCGACAACGUCUUCGGUAAGGAAUGGUGCAUGAACCUCUGGAGACACGAGGAGUCACAUGUCGGAGAGCAGGAGGACACGCAUCUGGACUCUUCAGCCAUUGUAGAAGAGCCAGUAGAUUUACUAGACGACGAACCAGAUAUGAUCAUGAUCAAAGAGGAGACAUUUGAAGACUGCUCUGCGAAAAAUAACACGGAGGAAGUUGAAAAUUCCAGUUUGAGAGGACCUUCAGCGAC